rnacentral:rRNA from 1 species
UACGAAGGGGGCUAGCGUUGCUCGGAAUUACUGGGCGUAAAGCGCACGUAGGCGGAUCGUUAAGUCGGGGGUGAAAUCCCGGGGCUCAACCCCGGAACUGCCUUCGAUACUGGCGAUCUCGAGUCCGGAAGAGGUGAGUGGAACUCCUAGUGUAGAGGUGGAAUUCGUAGAUAUUAGGAAGAACACCAGUGGCGAAGGCGGCUCACUGGUCCGGUACUGACGCUGAGGUGCGAAAGCGUGGGGAGCAAACAGG